rnacentral:tRNA from 1 species
UGAGGUCAUAUGUCAGUGGUAGAGUGCUUGCCUGGCAUGUGCAAGGCCCUGGGUUCAAUCCCCAGUACCACAA